AGUGAACGCUGGCGGUAGGCCUAACACAUGCAAGUCGAACGGCAGCACAGUAAGAGCUUGCUCUUACGGGUGGCGAGUGGCGGACGGGUGAGGAAUACAUCGGAAUCUACUUUUUCGUGGGGGAUAACGUAGGGAAACUUACGCUAAUACCGCAUACGACCUACGGGUGAAAGCAGGGGAUCUUCGGACCUUGCGCGAUUGAAUGAGCCGAUGUCGGAUUAGCUAGUUGGCGGGGUAAAGGCCCACCAAGGCGACGAUCCGUAGCUGGUCUGAGAGGAUGAUCAGCCACACUGGAGCUGAGACACGGUCCAGACUCCUACGGGAGGCAGCAGUGGGGAAUAUUGGACAAUGGGCGAAAGCCUGAUCCAGCCAUACCGCGUGGGUGAAGAAGGCCUUCGGGUUGUAAAGCCCUUUUGUUGGGAAAGAAAAGCAGCAGGUUAAUACCCCGCUGUUCGGACGGUACCCAAAGAAUAAGCACCGGCUAACUUCGU
rnacentral:rRNA from 1 species